UUACUGCAGGCUGCCUGGUCCCUGUGGUCCGGUCCUGGGGUUGAGCAGAGGUUUGCCCGAAGAACAAUGGAGAACAUUGGAAGAGGAGCAGAGCCACCCCUGACCCAUGGAGGGCAGUGACUUCUGAAAGGAAGUCAUAGCAAGAGGAGAGGCAGAUUAUAAAAUGCCUCUGUAAUUCAGAAGUCCUUCAGCAAGCAGAGGAAAGCAUCCUUCAGAGUUCUACAGACUACUGAGUUUCAGACUCUUUUUGGAUCGGAUGAUAGCAGCUUUACUGAGCCAAUCUUUUUCUGAAGGAAAGUGAAGGGCAAGCUCUCAAACUGUAACUCUGCAGCACUUUCAGGCUUCCAGAUGAUAAUCACUGCCGUCAGGAUUUGGAUAAAGUCUCAAACCCUUGUGGGGCAUCAUUGAUUCAUCCAUUCAGUCAGUCAUUCAGUACAAUUUACUGAGUGUCUACUGAGUGUGUAGCACUCUAUUAAGUGCUUGGGAGAGUGCAAGAAAAGAAGACCCACUUCAACAAUCGGGGUUUCCUGGAAAAGCAGCCAUGUGGUUUGAAUCCAUCUAUAGUAUUUAUCUCUUAAAGGGCAGAUUAAAUGCAUCUAAAAACAA